rnacentral:rRNA from 1 species
UUAAGCAUAUCAAUAAGCGGAGGAAAAGAAACCAACAGGGAUUGCCCCAGUAACGGCGAGUGAAGCGGCAACAGCUCAAAUUUGAAAUCUGGCCCCCAGGGCCCGAGUUGUAAUUUGCAGAGGAUGCUUUUGGCGCGGUGCCUUCCGAGUUCCCUGGAACGGGACGCCAUAGAGGGUGAGAGCCCCGUCUGGUCGGACGCCUAGCCUGUGUAAAGCUCCUUCGACGAGUCGAGUAGUUUGGGAAUGCUGCUCUAAAUGGGAGGUAUAUGUCUUCUAAAGCUAAAUACCGGCCAGAGACCGAUAGCGCACAAGUAGAGUGAUCGAAAGAUGAAAAGCACUUUGAAAAGAGGGUUAAAUAGUACGUGAAAUUGUUGAAAGGGAAGCGCUUGUGACCAGACUUGGGCCCGGUGGAUCAUCCAGCGUUCUCGCUGGUGCACUCCGCCGGGUUCAGGCCAGCAUCAGUUCGCCGCGGGGGAAAAAGGCUUCGGGAACGUGGCUCCUACGGGAGUGUUAUAGCCCGUUGCAUAAUACCCUGGGGCGGACUGAGGUUCGCGCUCCGCAAGGAUGCUGGCGUAAUGGUCAUCAGCGACCCGUCUUGAAACACGGACCAAGGAGUCGUCUUCGUAUGCGAGUGUUCGGGUGUAAAACCCCUACGCGUAAUGAAAGUGAACGCAGGUGAGAGCUUCGGCGCAUCAUCGACCGAUCCUGAUGUUCUCGGAUGGAUUUGAGUAAGAGCAUACGGGGCCGGACCCGAAAGAAGGUGAACUAUGCCUGUAUAGGGUGAAGCCAGAGGAAACUCUGGUGGAGGCUCGCAGCGGUUCUGACGUGCAAAUCGAUCGUCAAAUAUGGGCAUGGGGGCGAAAGACUAAUCGAACCUUCUAGUAGCUGGUUUCCGCCGAAGUUUCCCUCAGGAA